rnacentral:rRNA from 1 species
AGUAGAAUUAUUUGAAGAGAGGUGUUCCAUACAUCUAAAUCUAAAAAUUAUAACACACCGAAAGUGGAGAAGUACUGUAAAGGAAAGCUGAAAGAUGACAGAAACACAAUCGUUUGAACAGGACGAGGUUAAUUAUUCGAAGAGAAUAAGGGUAAUUUCAUAGAAGUAUGAGAUUAAUUGUGAAGAUAGAUUAGUAAGAAUAAAUAAAAAAUGGAUGGAUAGGGUGUUAUAAGGGGGGCGUAUGAUAUGAAGUCUUUAGUAUGAGAAUUAAAGGUAUCCCAUAAUUGAAAUAAGACUUUAGGAAUUGAAGCAUCUUAGUACUAAAGGUAAAAAAUCAAGCGAAAUUCUGUGAGUAGUGGCGAGCGAAAGUGGAAAGGAGGUUCUUUGUUAAAAAAAAAAAACAAAGAGGGUAAUAGGCCUGUGAAAAUGACAAGGAAUAGGUUAAAAGAGUAGAAUUAUUUGAAGAGAGGUGUUCCAUACAUCUAAAUCUAAAAAUUAUAACACACCGAAAGUGGAGAAGUACUGUAAAGGAAAGCUGAAAGAUGACAGAAACACAAUCGUUUGAACAGGACGAGGUUAAUUAUUCGAAGAGAAUAAGGGUAAUUUCAUAGAAGUAUGAGAUUAAUUGUGGAGAGUGAAAUAGAACCUGAAAUUAGUUAUUUACAAGCAGACAAUAUUUGUCGUACCUUUUGAAUAAUGGGUUCGCGAGAUGAGUAUUUGGCAAAUUUAAAUUAAUAAAUGUAGGUGUAGUGAAGACGAGUUUUAAUUAUUAAGCAUUAGUCAAAUAGAGCCCGAAACCAAGUGAUCUAGCCAUGGGCAGUUUGAAGUUUCUUUAGUUGGAAAUGGAGGAGCGAACCGGUGAUUGUGGCAAAAAUCUCGGAUGACCUGUGGUUAGGGGUAAAAAGCCAAUCGAACUUGGAAAUAGCUGGUUUUCUACGAAAACUAUUAAAGUAGUGUGUCUUUAGUUUUAAUUUUUACAUGGUAAAGCACUGUAUAGGAAUGUCUAUAGGGUAUUUGUAAACAAACUAUGAAAGUGUAAGAAUAAAAAGGAUAAACAGAUAAUGGGCGAGAAGGUCCAUUGUCCAAAGGGGAACAACCAAGAUCAGAAGUUAAGGUCAUUAAAGAAUAAUUAAGUGGGAAAGGAGUAUAUUAAGUGAGAUAAUAAAGAAGUAGGCUUGGAGUCAGCCAUCUUUGUAAGAGGACGUAACAGUUCAUUUAAUGAAUUAGUAAGCUUUAAAAAUGGGGGUGGCUUAAGUUAUUAAGGAGGAGACCCAAACUCUGGAUAAGAUAUUAUGGUAGUAGAACGUUCUGUAGUAAAUUGAAUUAAUUAUUAUGAAAGUAUGUCUGAAGUGAUAAUGCGAACAUGAGUAAAAAAUAAUGUGAGAAUCAUUAUUCCUGGCCCAAGGUUUCCAAAAAAAUAUAUUAUAUAUUAAUGGGUUAUACAGUCCCUAAGAAAAGAAAUGUUAAUAGUGUAAUGGGUAAAAAUAAUAAGUGUAAAAAAUUAUUUUAUAAUAGACUGUACUAAAACUAACACAAGUGGGCAUUAGGGGAUGGUUAAAUUUAUCUUAAGGAACUCGGCAAAAUGACUCUGUAAGUUUGCAAGAAAGGGUGCUAAUUUUGGGCUUAAAGAGUAAUAGGUUGGAAAUUAGUCUCGGAAAAGAGGGGGUGUCGACUGUUUACCAAAAACAUAGUUUUCAGUAAAGCCUUUGGCUUGAAGGAUUGGAGGUGAGGCCUGCCCAAUGAUUGUAUCUAAAUUUAAAUAAUAAACAAGUUAUUUGAUUAAAGACAAUUUAAUGGCCGCGGUAACUCUGACCGUGAUAAUGUAGCGAAAUAAAUAGCCAAUUAAUUGUUGGCCAGUAUGAAUGGCGUAACGAAUGCCCUACUGUCUCAAGAUAAAGACCGAUGAAAUUGAAAUUGUGGUGAAGAUGCUACAAACAAAUUGUAAGACGAGAAGACCCCGUUGAGCUUUACUGGAGGCUUAAAUAAUUUUUAAAGUUAAGGUGUAGAUUAUGUGGGAAUAUCUGUAAAUUCCACUCUUUAGAUAUAAAAAAUUAACCAAUAUUUAUUGGGAAGUUUAAGUUGGACAGUUUGGUUGGGGCGACCGCCUUCUAAAGAGUAACGAAGGCGAACAAAGGUAAAUAAUUAAAUAGUUUAAAGUAAAGCCUGAUAGCAAGGGUGACCUCCAAGCUGACACAGGUUUAAUGAUAUUGGGGGAAUUAAUACUGUGGGUUAUAAUGACCCGUUAGUUACGAGUGGGUGUAUUAACGAGCAACGAAUAAAAGUUACCAGGGGGAUAACAGCGUAAUCUCGUUUGAGAGUUCAUAUUGAUGACGAUGUUUGCGACCUCGAUGUUGAAUUGUGAUGACCUGGAGGUGCAGCAGCUUCCAAGGGUUGGACUGUUCGUCCAUUAAAAUCGUACAUGAUUUGAGUUCAGAUCGGCGUGAGCUAGGUCGGUUUCUAUCUACAAUUUUGUUUUGAAACAUAAGAUAUAACUAUACUUUAGUACGAAAGGAUUGAGUGAUAGAUAUCCUCUGGUGGGCCAAUUAUUUAGGUUAAAAUAAAUUGUUGGGUAGCUACGAUAGUAUUAGUGUCUAAUUAUUAUAAUUAGGGUGUAAAGGUAAAAUAAUUUUUGAAAGCAUU